rnacentral:misc_RNA from 1 species
GAUGAAGAACGUAGCGAAAUGCGAUAAGUAAUGUGAAUUGCAGAAUUCAGUGAAUCAUCGAAUCUUUGAACGCACAUUGCGCCCGCUAGUAUUCUGGCGGGCAUGCCUGUCCGAGCGUCAUUUCAACCCUCAAGCCCCCGGGCUUGGUGUUGGGGAUCGGCGAGCCUCCGCGCCCGCCGUCCCCUAAAUCUAGUGGCGGUCUCGCUGUAGCUUCCUCUGCGUAGUAGCACACCUCGCACUGGGAAACAGCGCGGCCACGCCGUUAAACCCCCAACUUCUGACCGUUUGACCUCGGAUCAGGUAGGAAUACCCGCUGAACUUAAGCAUAUCAAUAAGCGGAGGA